UACGUAGGGUGCGAGCGUUAAUCGGAAUUACUGGGCGUAAAGCGUGCGCAGGCGGGCUUUUAAGCCAGACGUGAAAUCCCCGGGCUUAACCUGGGAAUGGCGUUUGGGACUGGAAGUCUGGAGUGCGGCAGAGGAGACUGGAAUUCCUGGUGUAGCAGUGAAAUGCGUAGAUAUCAGGAGGAACACCGAUGGCGAAGGCAGUUCUCUGGGCCGUAACUGACGCUGAGGAGCGAAAGCGUGGGGAGCGAACAGG
rnacentral:rRNA from 1 species